CUCCAUAAACCUUAUAAUCAUCGUCCACUACCGAUCCAACCGUGCAACCUCCAUGGUAAUGGUAGUAGGUCCUCACAUUCGCUUUGCAGAAUUUCCUUUGCCCAUCCGUGCUAGUCAUCAAGUUAUUUUGAGGUUUAACACCAAGGGAAUGCAAUCUUGGCAGCUAUUGGCAUUCUCGUUGCAUUGAAGCCUGUCGGUAUAAUACCUCCUUCAAUUAUGAACUUGAGGUCUUUUGCAAUCCCUGAAACUUGAGGGGGGUCUGGUAGUCGAUUUUGUGGAUUUGUGUCCACCAAAACAGCAAUACUAGGAUUAUCUUUCAUUUUUUUCCCUACUCCUUUCAGGUUUACCACAUGUGGGAUGCUGAACUUCUUGAAGUGUUCACGGUGUCCAAUGCCACUUGACAAUAGAAUUUGAGGGCUACCUAAUGCCCCGGCUGACAAUAUCACAUCGCCAUUUGAAGUACAAUUCUUGGGUUGAUUCAGAUAGGCUUCAUAUGUUUGAUCCGUGGUGCCAUCACUCUUUAUGAACCUUAUGCCCUUCACUGUCGUCUCACUUGCAUUGCCUGCAGAUAUUUACAACUAUGAGAUAAUAGUAUUCAAUACCUUUGUUUAGAGCUAUUACUUUCAUUUAAUUUUGCUUACCGUUGCCCUCGAAGACGAUGUUUUUCACUGUUGCAUUGAGAGCAACUACAAUAUUUUUGGGAUUUGCAGCCUUCAGAAGAUCGGCUGAGGUAUGUCUUAUGCCCCAUACAUCAAAUAUACUUCCACCAAUCUUUGUUCCUUCGAUAUGUUCUAAACUAUAGCCAUUAUAAGGUAAAAUCCCAGCUUCAAGAAGGCCAAAUUCCACAACGGUCUGCCAUGGUGUUAAUUCAGGUAUAGAGACUAUUUUAGAUUCCACCCAGGUAUAAGCAUCCUUAACCAAUUCCUUAUCCCAGCCAACCUUGUCGAUAAAAUCCUCACUAGCUCGACUAUAGAAUCCUCCAUUUAUAGCUGAAGAUCCACCCAGUACUCGUCCUCUACAGUUCCUAACACCAUCAGCUGACUUGAAGUCUUGUGCUACUGAUGAAAAUUCAUCUGUUUGAAUCAAUGAGAAACCAUAAUAUCUUUUCUCCAUCACCCAGGGAUUGCCAUAAGGUGAUCCACCUCGUUCUACCAAUAGGACCGAGAAUUUCUCGGAAAGGGUUGCUGCCAGGGGGCACCCAGCAGUGCCUCCUCCUACAACAAUGUAAUCAAAGGAUUUACCUGCCACCUCUUUCACAUCAGAGGUCAUGUAAGGAAGUUCUCCUACAACGGACAAGGUUAACAAGUUAUUAUAAUGGAUUCUGAAGGCUUGAAAAUGGAAAUUCAGCUAAUAAAAGAAACACCCUUACCUUGAGUCUGAGAGGGAGAACAUAAAGACAGGUCAACAAACAAGAAGAUAAAUGCUAUGAGAAUCCUGUCAUGGUGAACAGUGUUUUGAAACUUAAUUGCUUCCAUUGAUUAGCAUUGGGUUAAGGAGGACAGGUAGACAAUUUAUGUUAAUUCUGUGUGGGGGCUCCUCAAUGAUUUGAGUCUCUCAGGACCUAGCCACUAACGGUGUAGCUAAUCUAAUGAUUUGCUGGUUUGUUUGGAGACCUACAAAAUGAUUUUGCUGCUAUGAUGAUUACUUCUCCUUCAAGUUAGGCGCAUUAAAUGGUAGAGAGGCAGGCUUAAUCAUACCCCUGGCUCAACAUCUUUUGCAAAAUAUACAAUAAAUACUUUUAAAUAGAUUACUAUGAUUACAAUAA